UUAUACUACCAAAAGGAUAAGUCCUUUGUUCGGUCGAUAGUUGGAUACUGAUUUUUAGUAAAUUAAGCGUAUGGAAAGUACGUCAGCCCAACUGGGGAGGAGCUACUUUAGUAGCUCCUUUUCUUUGUCUA
rnacentral:ncRNA from 12 species